UGCGGGGUCGUCUAACGGUAGGACAUGGACCUUUGAAGUCCAGUAUAAUGGUUCGAUUCCAUUCCCCGCAG
rnacentral:tRNA from 1 species